UACAGAGGGUGCGAGCGUUGUCCGGAAUCACUGGGCGUAAAGGGCGCGUAGGUGGCGACCCAAGUCGAUGGUGAAAGCUCGCCGCUCAACGGCGAGUCGGCCACCGAUACUGGGUUGCUCGAGCACUGUAGAGGCUAAUGGAAUUCCGGGUGUAGCGGUGGAAUGCGUAGAGAUCCGGAAGGACACCGGUGGCGAAGGCGGUUAGCUGGGCAGUUGCUGACACUGAGGCGCGACAGCGUGGGGAGCAAACAGG
rnacentral:rRNA from 1 species